GGCCCGGGAACCACCUCCAGGGUGAGCGGCCAGGGACCUGGGGCCCGGGUGGCCCAGGGUCGGCCGCUGGGGCGCCGCAGCCUAGCUGCUGAGGCGACCGAGCCCCGGGUGGUGUCCAGCCGCAAGUCGGCCGCGGCUUGGGUCCGAGUAGAGUCGGGCCCAGAGGGUGACAUGAGGAUGGUGGGGGGAGCGGUGCGCGGGCCUGGGGCGACCCUGACCCUUAGCAGGUGUGGAAUGAAAGGUCGCGGAGGGGAGGAGGCGCUUGGCCGGGGACAUGACCUUUGGCUCUAAAAAGAAGACUCCAUUUUUCAUGAUAAAAUGGCAGCGGUGAAAACCCCCAGCAGAGGACUAAAGAAUGCUAAAGAACCCUUUAAUAAUGCAUCACCCCAUCUCUUGAAGAACCUAGUGGAGGAACCGAAAAAAAGAAAAGAAGUACCUAAUCACCUCCUAGAAUCAAAGGUUUAUGCAAAACUUGUGAAUAAUAAGGUCAUACAGGCAAGACCUGGCAUAAUACAUUUUGGAGGCUAUCAAGUAGAAAAACAACACCAACAGAUUCUGCAUCUGGUCAAUGUUUCCAAUGAAGACACACGUGUUCAUAUUUUACCCCCGCAAACCAAAUACUUUGAGAUCAAUUAUGUAAGGAAGGAACACCACCUGGUCCCUGGCUUGUCCCUCACGGUCACCGUUACAUUUUCUCCAGAUGAGUGGCGAUACUAUUAUGACUGCAUCCGUGUUCACUGUAAGGGAGAUGACACUUUGCUUGUUCCUAUUCAUGCCUAUCCGGUCAUGAACUCACUAGACUUUCCUUCAUUUAUAAAUCUGUCAAAUGUUCUACUUGGUGAAAGCAAAACUUAUGUUAUUCCUUUGCAGUGCAGCUGCCCUGUAGAUUUUGAGUUUUACAUCACUUUGAUUCAGUCUCAUCAAGCCUUUGCUAUUGAGCCAACAUCAGGAAUAAUUCCGGCUAAUGGGAAGAUGACUGUGACUAUUAAGUUUACACCCUUUCAGUAUGGGACUGCACAAAUAAAAAUGCAGUUAUGGAUUUCGCAGUUCAACUCUCAACCAUACGAAUGUGUCUUCACCGGAACGUGCUAUCCCAACAUGGCCUUACCAUUAGAAGAGUUUGAAAGGUUGAAUACCCUUUCUAAGAAAGUAAACGUUCCUCCAGAAAAAGCAAUGAUGCAUAUAAAUUUUCACCGACCGCCAGCGAAGCCGAAGCCUCAGAAGUUGAAGGAAAUUGAGUACCAGAACCUCAGAUUUCCAGUAGAUUUAUCGAAUCCAUUUGCUGUGGCAACUGUUUUAAACCAAGAACCAGGAAAAUUGAAGAUUAAAGAAUUAAGAGAAGUUUUGGACCAGGGCACUGAAAUUUCAAAAACGAGACAGAUGAAGGAGGCACUCUUUGAACAGAAAGUCAGACAGGACAUUCACGAAGAGAUGGAAAAUCAUCUUAAGUGGCAGGUGCACCUUGGUAAAGAUCCUAUGUCUUUUAAACUUAAAAAAGAGCUUACUGAAGAGUGGCAAAAAGCAUGUGCCAAGUAUAAGCUAGACAGAGGAGAUCCUAUUUUGGAUGAGGAAUUUCAGCGACUUAAAACAGAAGUUAGCCAUAAACGGGUCGUUCGCAAUCAAGAAGAGAAAAUCAAGGAAUUUCAUCCUACUUUUGAUCCACUCAUUAAUAACACUUGGCUCAGCAGGUCCAGGGCACAAAAACGGUUUCAACAAGUAGCACGCAAGGUCAUGAUUCAGGGACGAUUAUUCAAUAUGCUGAGUGCUGUUCGUGAAAUGGACAAAGAGAGUAUACUGAGAAAGAUUGGCCAAGCAAAACAAUCGAUAGCACAAGAGGCGAAUUUCUUCAAAUUUUUCCUGAGGCGGAUCAGUCAGGAUGAUUAUACCAGCCGGUUCUCUGUGUCGCCCAAGGAGGUGCUGCCCUUCGCUUUCCCAGACUGCAGCCCACCCCAGGACUCCAACGAGUUGGCUCCUGAUGGCCUUGGACUGGUCCCAAUUAAGUCUUCAGAAGUUCAAAUCAAGCAGAGUUAUUCCUUCUUCAGUCUGCAGGUUCCUCAACUGUACAAAAUUAAGAGAUAUCAGCCAUUCUCUGUCCACAAGUCUUCAACAAGUUACAGACCUCAAAAGCUUGCCCGAGCCCUAAAGCAAGGAGCUGAGGAUGAAGUCACCACCAUCAUAGCCCUUCCGAAACAGGACUCCACAACUCAGCUCUCUGGCAAGACAUCAAUCUUGAGCAUGAAACCACCUGAGGCCUUAGCCAUGUCUCUAGAUUAUGAUCCUCUGUAUGUUUUUAAUCCCAACCCAGGAUUAUUUGCUGUAAUGCAUCCUCUGACCUACGCAGAAACGUUGAUAGAUUACCAUCUAUGCUCUCACCCCAAGUACAAAUUCACCAAAGAGUCCCGCCACGGGUCCAGCAUUCCUGUCACCCAAAAGCAGUUUCUCCAUCACACGGACAUUAUUCCCGGAAUAAUGCACUGGAAAAGCUUCCAGUCCCUGGUUCUCUCCUCCCUGCCGGACCCCUCCAAGAUGGAGACCACAAAGAGCAUAUUUCUAGAAUGUCAAAUCUCCAGAACUGGCGGGAACAAUGGCAUGGAAGAGAGAAGGAAAGCUUUGGCAUGGGAGAGACCUGCCUCCAUUGUACACUGGAUGUAUCACCAGUUCAGUCCUUGGGCGAGCUACGUACUAAUGAAGCCCUUCGAGCAAUAAUCUCCUCCUCUCUGAGGGAGAGGCAGUGAUGGCAUCCUCACAUUUGUGUGUGUGUGAGGAUAAAAAUGCAAUGAUCUUGUGAAACGUCUAGCAUCAUGCCUGCUGCGAUUCCUUCAAUUCAUUUAUGCUUCCGAUAGACGUCCCUGCCAUUCUUGAUGCCUUACCAGAAGAGGACAGACUAGAAACAGUAGAACGACUUCUGAAGCCUUUGUUGCCCUUUGAUGAUCUUGGAAGCAUUUCUCUAAUUGAGUGUGGUGGAGAUGGGUGCUGUCAAAAAAUUCGUUGUCCUGUUCUUCUAAAGUCCUAGAAUCACUGAAACUAGAGGCUAAGUUUCCCAGCCUCCCUUGCAUGAGCUCUGUGAGCAGAAUGUAGAAGUUAUGUUGACUCCAGAAAUGAUCAAAGUGGAAUUCCCUAUGUUGAACUACAAGGACAUCAGGAAGGAGAAAGAAGUGAAAGAUCAAGCACAACCAGCAGAGAAGGCCGGAGAGAAGCUGCUCGAGGAGAUGAGGAACCUGCGGGGCAAAGCACUCAACACAUACCUGAUUCUAGAAUGAAAGUCACCAGUAGGUCAGUCCCUUCCAUUUGCUUUCUGCGGGCCACUGUGGCCCCUUGCGUCCAUUUACAUGCCAGCCAUCUCUGCAAUUAAAGUUUCUGGAUAAAAAAAUGAAAUGUAGAGGAUGUAUAUAUCUUUUAAGUGAUAAUUAUAAAUCUUAUAUUUAAAAAUAAAAUGGAGUUAGGAUGAUGA